rnacentral:rRNA from 1 species
GAGUUUGAUCAUGGCUCAGAUUGAACGCUGGCGGCAUGCCUUACACAUGCAAGUCGAACGGCAGCAUGAUCUAGCUUGCUAGAUUGAUGGCGAGUGGCGAACGGGUGAGUAAUACAUCGGAACGUGCCCUGUAGUGGGGGAUAACUAGUCGAAAGAUUAGCUAAUACCGCAUACGACCUGAGGGUGAAAGUGGGGGACCGCAAGGCCUCAUGCUAUAGGAGCGGCCGAUGUCUGAUUAGCUAGUUGGUGGGGUAAAGGCCCACCACGGCGACGAUCAGUAGCUGGUCUGAGAGGACGAUCAGCCACACUGGGACUGAGACACGGCCCAGACUCCUACGGGAGGCAGCAGUGGGGAAUUUUGGACAAUGGGGGCAACCCUGAUCCAGCAAUGCCGCGUGUGUGAAGAAGGCCUUCGGGUUGUAAAGCACUUUUGUCCGGAAAGAAAUCGCACUUACUAAUAUUAGGUGUGGAUGACGGUACCGGAAGAAUAAGGACCGGCUAACUACGUGCCAGCAGCCGCGGUAAUACGUAGGGUCCAAGCGUUAAUCGGAAUUACUGGGCGUAAAGCGUGCGCAGGCGGUUGUGCAAGACCGAUGUGAAAUCCCCGGGCUUAACCUGGGAAUUGCAUUGGUGACUGCACGGCUAGAGUGUGUCAGAGGGGGGUAGAAUUCCACGUGUAGCAGUGAAAAUGCGUAGAGAUGUGGAGGAAUACCGAUGGCGAAGGCAGCCCCCUGGGAUAACACUGACGCUCAUGCACGAAAGCGUGGGGAGCAAAACAGGAUUAGAUACCCUGGUAGUCCACGCCCUAAACGAUGUCAACUAGUUGUUGGGGAUUCAUUUCCUUAGUAACGUAGCUAACGCGUGAAGUUGACCGCCUGGGGAGUACGGUCGCAAGAUUAAAACUCAAAGGAAUUGACGGGGACCCGCACAAGCGGUGGAUGAUGUGGAUUAAUUCGAUGCAACGCGAAAAACCUUACCUACCCUUGACAUGCCACUAACGAAGCAGAGAUGCAUUAGGUGCUCGAAAGAGAAAGUGGACACAGGUGCUGCAUGGCUGUCGUCAGCUCGUGUCGUGAGAUGUUGGGUUAAGUCCCGCAACGAGCGCAACCCUUGUCUCUAGUUGCUACGAAAGGGCACUCUAGAGAGACUGCCGGUGACAAACCGGAGGAAGGUGGGGAUGACGUCAAGUCCUCAUGGCCCUUAUGGGUAGGGCUUCACACGUCAUACAAUGGUGCAUACAGAGGGUUGCCAAGCCGCGAGGUGGAGCUAAUCCCAGAAAAUGCAUCGUAGUCCGGAUCGUAGUCUGCAACUCGACUACGUGAAGCUGGAAUCGCUAGUAAUCGCGGAUCAGCAUGCCGCGGUGAAUACGU